rnacentral:rRNA from 1 species
GACGUAGGAUGCGAGCGUUAUUCGGAUUUAUUGGGCGUAAAGCGUGCGUAGGCGGCUGUUUAAGUCUGGUGUUAAAGCUAGGGGCUCAACCCCUGUGGUGCAUCGGAUACUGGGCAGCUUGAGUGCGGUAGGGGAAGGUGGAAUUCCGAGUGUAGCGGUGAAAUGCGUAGAUAUUCGGAAGAACACCGGUGGCGAAGGCGACCUUCUGGGCCGCAACUGACGCUGAGGCACGAAAGCCUGGGGAGCAAACAGG